rnacentral:rRNA from 1 species
GAUGAACGCUGGCGGCGUGCCUAAUACAUGCAAGUCGAGCGAACAGAUGAGGAGCUUGCUCCUCUGACGUUAGCGGCGGGCGGGUGAGUAACACGUGGAUAACCUACCUAUAAGACUGGGAUAACUUCGGGAAACCGGAGCUAAUACCGGAUAAUAUAUUGAACCGCAUGGUUCAAUAGUGAAAGACGGUUUUGCUGUCACUUAUAGAUGGAUCCGCGCCGCAUUAGCUAGUUGGUAAGGUAACGGCUUACCAAGGCAACGAUGCGUAGCCGACCUGAGAGGGUGAUCGGCCACACUGGAACUGAGACACGGUCCAGACUCCUACGGGAGGCAGCAGUAGGGAAUCUUCCGCAAUGGGCGAAAGCCUGACGGAGCAACGCCGCGUGAGUGAUGAAGGUCUUCGGAUCGUAAAACUCUGUUAUUAGGGAAGAACAAAUGUGUAAGUAACUAUGCACGUCUUGACAGUACCUAAUCAGAAAGCCACGGCUAACUACGUG